rnacentral:rRNA from 1 species
UACGAAGGGGGCUAGCGUUGCUCGGAAUUACUGGGCGUAAAGGGCGCGUAGGCGGCGCAUUUAGUCAGGCGUGAAAGCCCUGGGCUCAACCUGGGGACUGCGCUUGAGACGGGUGUGCUAGAGGACGGAAGAGGGUCGCGGAAUUCCCAGUGUAGAGGUGAAAUUCGUAGAUAUCAGGAGGAACACCUGUGGCGAAAGCGGCUCACUGGACCACAACUGACGCUGAGGCGCGAAAGCUAGGGGAGCAAACAGG